rnacentral:rRNA from 1 species
UACGUAGGGAGCGAGCGUUGUCCGGAAUUACUGGGUGUAAAGGGAGCGUAGGCGGGAUGGCAAGUUGAAUGUGAAAUCUAUGGGCUCAACCCAUAAAUUGCGUUCAAAACUGCCAUUCUUGAGUGAAGUAGAGGCAAGCGGAAUUCCCGGUGUAGCGGUGGAAUGCGUAGAUAUCGGGAGGAACACCAGUGGCGAAGGCGGCUUGCUGGGCUUUUACUGACGCUGAGGCUCGAAAGCGUGGGGAGCAAACAGGAUUAGAUACCCUGGUA